rnacentral:lncRNA from 1 species
UGUAAAAAGAGGAUAGUGGCUCACGUGUCAAAGGAUGGCACGGUCACGCUCUAGAUCCCCCAGGUGGAGGCACAGGUCUUUAACACCAGUGCCUAGAAGUUCUGAACACUACAAGCAAAGAUAUGAGCAUUAUGGCUACGACUAUAGGAAGGAUCCAAAAAGACACAUCACUUGGAGAAUGGACAAUGAGAAAUAUGGACAGAGUAAACCAAGGAUUUCUUCUCGUGAAAAUAUAUAUUACCGAUCUUACGAGCAUAGAUCACCUUCCCCAAACAUAAGAGGAAACUCUUCAGAAAAGUUUUAUACUUAUAAGCCUCCCCAAGUAUAUUUACCAGAAAGAGGAGAUGAUAGUAACAGAAGAGCUCAAUAUGUGCCCAGACACUCAGAAGGUAUAUUCUACAAAGAGCACCAGAGGAGUUGUUAUCCCCAGAAAGCACAAGGAAGGUAUAUUCCUGAUGACCGCAGAAAUAGAAGAAGUGAAAAAGGAGGGACACCACCUGUGAGAUCAACAACAGAUUCUUUUAGAUUCGAAGGAUAUUGGCAUGAAGAUGAACCGAGGCACCAGAGGAUACAAGAUGAAAAAUACUCUCAGUCACUUAGAAGAGGCCCUGAAGAUUUUGAGAAAAGGAGCUCUUUUCAGAAGAGGUAUCCUGAGGAUCAUGAUUUCAGAAAAUAUGGACACACAUCAAAAAGACCUCACGAUGUGGAGAGGUAUGAAAACAGAGAGCCUGUCAGGAGCCUGCAGUGGAAAUCCAGGCAUUUUUCUGCUCCUUACCAAGAGAAGAAAGAUCAGCGGAACCUUGAAACCCAGACUCAUCGAUAUGCUCCAAGGGAAUUCCCAGAGACCAGUUCAGCAGCCAAGGUAUCCUGUGAUUCUCGCCACAGAUAUCGAAAGACCUCAGAUGGCGACAAGGACUUUUAUGAUGGAAGAGCUCAGAGGUACCCUAAGGAGGAAGAUAGAAAAUUGGGUUCUCAAAAAGGCCCUGUGAAUAGAGAGUCCAGUUGUUCUCAUGCUGGAAGAGGGAGAGAGACUGAAGGUGGGCAAGUCAGAGAAUCUUCUAAGCCAUCAAAGAAAGACUGUGCUGCCUUAACCCACUUAGAUAAAAGCGAUGUUGAUUCGAGAUCCUGUAAGGACACACGGAAGGACAAAAUAAAGAAAGAAAGAGCUGGCAGUAAAGACAGCAACUCUUCCUGUAACCAACUUGAUAAUAGUGAUUCCGACUUGAAGCCUUCAUCUGUCUUUCUUAGGAAGAAGUCACUCACAGUUAAAGUAGAUGUGAAGCAAGCACAGAAUAGAUCUAGGGUUGCUUCUAGCUAUUCCACAGAGAGACAGAUGUCACAUGAUUUGGUUGCUGUUGGCAGGAAAAGUGAAAAGUUUCAUCCAGUGUUUGAACAUCUUGACUCAACUCAGAAUACUGAAAACAAACCUACAGGAGAAUUUGCUCAGCAAAUCAUAACUAUAAUCCAUCAAGUUAAAGCAAAUUAUUUUCCAUCACCUGAAAUAACUCUGCAUGAGCGUUUCUCAAAAAUUCAAGUUAAAAAAGCUGCAGAUGUAAAUGAAACUAAGUUGAGCUCGGAUCCAGAAAUUCACAGGAGAAUAGAUAUGUCUUUGGCCGAGCUUCAGAGUAAACAAACUAUGGUAUAUGACUCAAAACAGACUCUGGUCAAAAUAAUAGAUCCAAGUGACCUACGACAUGACAUUGAAAGAAGGAGAAAAGAGCGGUUACAGAAUGAAGAUGAGCACAUUUUUCACAUAGCUAGUGCUACAGAGAGGAGUGAUCAGCAUUCCAGUUUUUCAGAGUUGAAGGAUACUCAUGUUGAUGAAUUCCAAAAACCUACGUCUUUUGAAAAAUCAAAUUUUAGAAAAUUUAUUCAGAAACCUUCCUCGAAUGAUACUAUGCAGAGAAAAGAUGUCAUUACUCACAGACCAUUUGAAGUUGAGGAAAACCAUCAAAAUACAAGAGGCUUUAGAAGACCUUUUAAGGAAUAUACAAACAUUGACCCAGCAAUCUAA